GAUGAACGCUAGCGGCAGGCUUAACACAUGCAAGUCGAGGGGUAUAGUAGCAAUACUAGAGACCGGCGCACGGGUGCGUAACGCGUAUGCAAUCUACCUUUCACAGAGGGAUAGCUCAGAGAAAUUUGGAUUAAUACCUCAUAGUAUUAUAGGAUGGCAUCAUUUUAUAAUUAAAGUCACAACGGUGAAAGAUGAGCAUGCGUCCCAUUAGUUAGUUGGUAAGGUAACGGCUUACCAAGACUACGAUGGGUAGGGGUCCUGAGAGGGAGAUCCCCCACACUGGUACUGAGACACGGACCAGACUCCUACGGGAGGCAGCAGUGAGGAAUAUUGGACAAUGGGCGCAAGCCUGAUCCAGCCAUGCCGCGUGCAGGAUGACGGUCCUAUGGAUUGUAAACUGCUUUUGCACAGGAAGAAACACCCCGACGUGUCGGGGCUGACGGUAC
rnacentral:rRNA from 1 species